rnacentral:rRNA from 1 species
CGGCACGCUUAACACAUGCAAGUUGAACGAAAUGUUUCACCGUAGCUUGCUACACCGAGACAUUUUAGUGGCGGACGGGUGAGUAACACGUGAGGAACCUGCCUAUCAGAGAGGGAUACCGUUUGGAAACGAACGUUAAUACCUCAUAACGUAACGAGAUCGCAUGAUAAUGUUACCAAAGAUUUAUCGCUGAUAGAUGGCCUCGCGUCUGAUUAGAUAGUUGGUGAGGUAACGGCUCACCAAGUCGACGAUCAGUAGCCGGACUGAGAGGUUGACCGGCCACAUUGGGACUGAGAUACGGCCCAGACUCCUACGGGAGGCAGCAGUGGGGAAUAUUGCACAAUGGGGGAAACCCUGAUGCAGCGACGCCGCGUGAGUGAAGAAGUAUUUCGGUAUGUAAAGCUCUAUCAGCAGGGAAGAAAAUGACGGUACCUGACUAAGAAGCUCCGGCUAAAUACGUG